rnacentral:lncRNA from 1 species
GAUUUCAAUGAAGUCAUGAAUGGAAAUGUUUCAGAAGGUGCUGGAGUUUUGUUAAUUGAAUGAUGUGGGUUAUUCGGGCAGAUGGUUCACAUGGGAAAGAGGUAAUCUCUCAGAAACGAAUAUAUGAGAACGGUUGGAUAGGGGGUGGCAAAUAAGGAAUGGAUUUCAUUAUUUUCAGACGUUAAAGCUCAACAUUUGGUUCAUUUAAUUGAUACUAAAAAGGAAACAAGACGACAAAAUGAGAAUAUAUUCAGAAUUGAAAACUGGUGGUUUUUGAAGGACUUAUUCGUUGCUGAAGCUGAGCAGCUGUGGAAGAUGACACCAGGUAAUUUUUUGCAGAAGACGAAAAUCCUAAUGAAGGGGCUUGAAAAUUGGGCUGGAAAAAUACGAAACAAGAAAAAUAGAAAAAAGAAAUUUUUAACAACAAAGCUAUCUGAGCUACUCGACGCUGAAAGGGACGACAUUAACAUGGAGGAGAUGAUCGAUACGAAGAUUCAACUAGAUAUGGAGUUUGAAAAGGAGGAAAGAUAUUGGGAGCAAAGGGCUCAAUUGAAUUGGUUAAAAUUAGGUGACAAAAAUAUAGCUAUUUUCCAUGGUCAAGCAACCCAAAGGCAGAGAAAAAACAAGAUCAGGAGGUUACAAAAUGCACAUGGAAAGGAUACAAAAGAUCCCCAAGAAAUAGAAGAAAUAGCAAGAUCCUACUUCCAGAAUUUAUUUGCUUCAGAAAAUCAAGAGAAUCUCGACUAUUUACUCUUGGGUAUUGGUCGAUGUAUCUAUGAAGAGGAAAAUAAAAAGCUGACUGCGCAAUAUACAGGAGAAGAAAUCCGCGAUGCUUUGUUCGAGAUGGCACCCACUAAGGCACCAGGCGAAGAUGGAUUCCCAGCUUUAUUUUAUCGGAAGUGUUGGCAUUUUAUUGGAGAGGAUGUAGUUUCCUUCUGUCUACAACUCUUGAAUGAAGAUAUGGAGGUUAGUUCAAUUAAUACAACUCAUAUUGUGCUUAUUCCAAAAACUAAUAAUCUCGCUAAUAUGACACAUUUUAGGUCAAUUAGUUUAUGCAAUGUCAUUUAUAAAAUAAUGGAAAAAGCUAUAGCGAACAAAUUUAGAGGAGUGAUUGAUAAAUGCAUUGAUAGUGCACAAAGUGCCUUUGUGCCAGGAAGAUUAAUCUCAGAUAAUGUUCUGCUUGCUUACGAGAUAUUGCAUUCCCUAAAACAGAAAAGAGUGAGGAAAAAGGGCUAUAUGGCUGUAAAAUUGAAUAUGAGUAAGGCUUACGAUAGAGUUGAAUAGAAUUUUAUUAAAGAAAUAAUGUGUCGAAUGGGUUUCGCAUGAAGUUGGAUUGAUACUAUUAUGAAAUGCAUGACUACCGUUUCUUACAAGGUUGUGGUAAAUUGAAAUGUUGGGGUGACAUUUAGUUCAUCGAGGGACUUCGACAAGGUGAUCCUUCGAGUCUAUUUCUUUUCUUAAUAUGUGGGGAAUGCCUUUCCAGUCUUAUGAGAAAAGCAACAAAUGAAGGUUUUUUGAAGGGUGUCAAAGUAAGCAGAAGAGGACCACAUGUAUCACAUUUAUUUGUAGAUGAUUGCAUUCGUUUUGGGGAGGCAACAUGUAGAGGGGCUAAUACAAUCAAAGAAAUCUUAAGUGAGUAUAAAAGAGGUUCGGGACAGUGUGAAUAUGGACAAAUCAACUAUUUUUCUCAGCAAAAAUACGACGGCAGAAGAAAUAAGUCAGGUGGUAAACUUGCUAGGAAUCCAAAGCUCAAAUGAACCAGAACGUUAUCUAGGUUUGCCGACCAUGGUAGGACGAAAAAAGAAGGCUUCUUUUCAGGCUUUGAAACAUAGACUAAGAGGGCAUAUUGAUAACUGGAGCAUUAGAUUUUUAUCGCAGGGCGGGAAAGAAGUUUUCAUCAAAGCUGUAUUACAGGCCAUCCCGACAUAUUCAAUGGCUUGCUUCUUACUCCCAAAAAUUUUAUGCGAAGAAAUGGAAGGAAUUAUCGCGAAACUUUGGUGGAAAAAGGGUCAAGGUAAAGGGGAAUUCAUUGGUGCUCUUGGAAUAAUCUUUGCAAUUUAAAAGAAAAGGGAGGUUUGGGUUUUCGUAAUCUCAGUCAGUUUAAUAUUGCGUUAUUAGCCAAACAGGGGUGGCGUCUUUUUAAUUAUCCAAAUUCACUUUUAGCUAGAGUCUUUAAAGCAAAGUAUUAUCCACAGUCUGUUUUUUUAAGUGCAGAGUUUGGGGAAUUUACCUUCUUACCUGGAAGAGUAUCUGGGCAGUAAAGAAACUCCUCCUUCAGGGGCUAAGUUGGAGAGUUGGGAAAAGAAACAAUGUUUUCAUCUGGACAGAUCGGUGGAUUCCAAGGAUUGAACCUAGUACAUGGCAGAAUGAAGAUGAAAAUAGGGAGCUAAAAACAGUAUCAGAUUUAAUUGAUGGAACAAAUAAGAAGUGGAAAACGGAGGUCAUUAUUAGUACCUCUCAAUCGGAUAUAGCUAAAAAAAUUUUGGAGAUACCACUUGCAGAAAUGGACAGUGAAGACUUGCGCGUUUGGAAAGGUAAACCGACCGGAGAGUUCUCUGUACGGAGCACCUAUAAACUAUUACAAGAAGUUGAUUUAAUUUCUAAUAACUUAUUACAGACUGAUUUUAAAGAAUUCUAGAGAAAGUUAUGGGAUUUACAACUUCCAUCAAAAACUCUACUGUUUGUCUGGCGGAUAUCCUGGAACUAUAUUCCUACACUAGCCAACCUACGAUACAAGCGAAUAACCACAAAUGUGAGAUGCCCUCGAUGUGGCUUCGGGGAAGAGGACAACUUCUAUGUAUUCCAGUAAUGCCUUACAAGUACUGAAGUUUAGCAUAAUAUUAACAUGGAUUGGGUUACAUCAUAUUCAGAUCAAAAUACCAGAACAUGGCUUACAUGGGUAUUUGCAAAAGGAACUAAGGAACAGUGUCAGAUGUUUUGCUACGCUUUAUGGAUCAUAUGGAGCUCAUGAAAUCAAAUGGCACAUGAAAAAAAACACGCAUUAGAAAGGGACCUUGCACAGAAAAUAGAGAGCUAUAUAGCAGAACUUGAAGGAGUGGGUAAAGAAAGAUGUACCUUGAAGACUGCCAGAAUAUAGAGACAUACGGAGGAGAAAACGGAGGACACAACACAAUUUGAUGCAGCUUUUGAUGCAAACAGGUCCAGAUCGGCGUCGGGGGUCAUUGUAUGAAACCGGAUAGGAGAGAUGAGAGUCUUAAAAACAACCCUUCAUUCCAAUGUCUCAUCCCCAUUUCUUGCAGAGGCAUUCGCUUGUCUACAGGCAAUCAAGCUGGGUAUUUCACUGGGCCUCCGAUCAGUCACAAUAAGGGGAGAUUCGAAGACAAUCAUUAAAAAAUGUCAAUCGGCAGGGAUGGAUAAAUCGAUCAUUGGAGCAGUUAUCAAUGAUAUCAAGAGUCAUAGUUCGCUAUUUCAAGAAAUAGAUUUUCAGUUUAUUCAAAAAUCAAAGAACUUCCAAGCCCACAAAAUAGCGAAGGAAACAUUAGCAAAUGGGGAAGAGAGGUACUUGGUUAGAGAUGAGUCGAUCUACAACGAAGGAGCCAUGGAAGAGGAAUGGUCAAGAAACCCGGAUUGAAGAAAAUUUCAAAAAGAAAGAGAAUUGAAAAUGGUAACAGGAUUGAAGAAAGAACGUUUUGGAAACUGUUAUCUGCCAAAUAGAUGUGACGAUUCAGCAUGAAAAGGAGAGAUUUUAAUACGUCCAGGCUGUCUGAUUUGACUGGGUAAUAAUGUUAGGUUUUGUGUUUUUUUCAUUUUUUCGUUUCUAUUUUAUUAGGCUAAAAUUCUGAUGGGUAAACUUUGUAGCCCACCUAUUGCUUUAGGGUGUUUUCAGCAGACUCCAAACCCAAUUAUAUUGGGUAUUAUUGUGUUUUGUUUCCAUUAUUUAUACUAGUCCAGUUAUAUCUUUUUAAAAAAA